CAGGCUUAACACAUGCAAGUCGAGGGGCAGCAUGGUCUUAGCUUGCUAAGGCCGAUGGCGACCGGCGCACGGGUGAGUAACACGUAUCCAACCUGCCGUCUACUCUUGGACAGCCUUCUGAAAGGAAGAUUAAUACAAGAUGGCAUCAUGAGUCCGCAUGUUCACAUGAUUAAAGGUAUUCCGGUAGACGAUGGGGAUGCGUUCCAUUAGAUAGUAGGCGGGGUAACGGCCCACCUAGUCUUCGAUGGAUAGGGGUUCUGAGAGGAAGGUCCCCCACAUUGGAACUGAGACACGGUCCAAACUCCUACGGGAGGCAGCAGUGAGGAAUAUUGGUCAAUGGGCGAGAGCCUGAACCAGCCAAGUAGCGUGAAGGAUGACUGCCCUAUGGGUUGUAAACUUCUUUUAUAAAGGAAUAAAGUCGGGUAUGGAUACCCGUUUGCAUGUACUUUAUGAAUAAGGAUCGGCUAACUCCGUGCCAGCAGCCGCGGUAAUACGGAGGAUCCGAGCGUUAUCCGGAUUUAUUGGGUUUAAAGGGAGCGUAGAUGGAUGUUUAAGUCAGUUGUGAAAGUUUGCGGCUCAACCGUAAAAUUGCAGUUGAUACUGGAUAUCUUGAGUGCAGUUGAGGCAGGCGGAAUUCGUGGUGUAGCGGUGAAAUGCUUAGAUAUCACGAGGAACUCCGAUUGCGAAGGCAGCCUGCUAAGCUGCAACUGACAUUGAGGCUCGAAAGUGUGGGUAUCAAACAGGAUUAGAUACCCUGGUAGUCCACACGGUAAACGAUGAAUACUCGCUGUUUGCGAUAUACAGCAAGCGGCCAAGCGAAAGCGUUAAGUAUUCCACCUGGGGAGUACGCCGGCAACGGUGAAACUCAAAGGAAUUGACGGGGGCCCGCACAAGCGGAGGAACAUGUGGUUUAAUUCGAUGAUACGCGAGGAACCUUACCCGGGCUUAAAUUGCAGAUGAAUUACGGUGAAAGCCGUAAGCCGCAAGGCAUCUGUGAAGGUGCUGCAUGGUUGUCGUCAGCUCGUGCCGUGAGGUGUCGGCUUAAGUGCCAUAACGAGCGCGACCCUUGUUGUCAGUUACUAACAGGUUCCGCUGAGGACUCUGACAAGACUGCCAUCGUAAGAUGUGAGGAAGGUGGGGAUGACGUCAAAUCAGCACGGCCCUUACGUCCGGGGCUACACACGUGUUACAAUGGGGGGUACAGAGGGCCGCUACCACGCGAGUGGAUGCCAAUCCCAAAAACCUCUCUCAGUUCGGACUGGAGUCUGCAACCCGACUCCACGAAGCUGGAUUCGCUAGUAAUCGCGCAUCAGCCACGGCGCGGUGAAUACGUUCCCGGGCCUUGUACACACCGCCCGUCAAGCCAUGGGAGCCGGGGGUACCUGAAGUGCGUAACCGCGAGGAGCGCCCUAGGGUAAAACUGGUGACUGGG
rnacentral:rRNA from 1 species